rnacentral:misc_RNA from 1 species
UUCCAGCUUCGAUAAUAUUGGAAAUUCUUAUAGUUGUUGUUGGCAAAACAAUAAGAUUACAACGUAUAAAGGGAGAUCGA